rnacentral:lncRNA from 1 species
AAGAGGUAUGGGCAACCGGUCAUAGGUUUGUACACACUAUGCGCAACAACACCUGACGAUCAGUAGGUAAUGACCCCGUAGCCAUCGCCGAAGGCCCCCCGAUAGACGGGGUGUUUAAAAGCGUCGACCGAACAAGAGAAUCGGCCGGAAUAGAAGCAGGUAAAAUAUAGGGAUAAGUCGGAUGGGUAAUAUGAGGUAUACCUAAAGCAUGAGCUACAGCUGACGGAGUAACCCUAAAAGAAUGACCUCUAAGAGUAACCCGAAAAGACGAGCCGUCGAUAUCAUGAAUGUUAGCAUAGAAUUCUUGCACAAGGAGUGGGGGAGGAGGCGAAAGACCAACAAGAAGGGGCUCCCAACCCCGGGAAACAAAAGUGGCGGCGAUAUCAACAGGAAGGUCAGAGAGGAUUACCUCACGCUCCAUGAGAACGGGGCGUAAGGAGAACUGAGAAGUGAAGACCUCCUGAGCUGUAGCAGAAAUGAAUCUGGAACGACUAUAUGACGUCGAACCACUAGCUGGUUGCGCAGAAGGUCGAGAACGCUUACGGGCUAUCUGACACAUGGAGAGAUUGAACUCAAUUAGGAAGAUGAAGAAUGCACGAGGUACGAUGCAAUAUGAACUGAAACAUCGCACACACAAAUGAGGCACGAAAGAGAUGCAUCCAAAAGCGUGAACGACCUUAAGAUCAAACCAAGCAUGAUGGAAAUAUUCACCAAAAAUAUGUGUAAAAACACUCAACAAGUCACGUGACGAGAAUGAAACAAAGGCGGAAUGAAGAGGAGGAAAAAAAAAACGAAACACACAAACUAAGAAAAAAAGAAAAACCAAAUAAAACAAAACAGGGGACUUUCAUCGAACACAUGACGGGCGUCACUUCGGCACAUAAUUCCAAACACAUACGAGACCCAAGCAUGCAUCCAAGCAUAGUCCCACAAACUAGAAUCCAAGGGCUUUAAAAUGAAACAAACCAUACAUCAAACGGAUUAACGGAAUGCAAGAACCAACAACACGAACAUAGACGAAAAAACACGAAAAUUCCAUUAAUA